AUUGAACGCUGGCGGCAUGCCUUACACAUGCAAGUCGAACGGCAGCACGGGAGCAAUCCUGGUGGCGAGUGGCGAACGGGUGAGUAAUAUAUCGGAACGUGCCCAGUCGUGGGGGAUAACGCAGCGAAAGCUGUGCUAAUACCGCAUGAGAUCUAUGGAUGAAAGCGGGGGAUCGCAAGACCUCGCGCGAUUGGAGCGGCCGAUAUCAGAUUAGGUAGUUGGGGGGGUAAAGGCACACUAAGCCGACGAUCUGUAGCUGGUCUGAGAGGACGGCCAGCCAAACUGGAAGGGAGACACGGUCCAGACUCCGACGGGAGGCAGCAGUGGGGAAUGUUGGACAAUGGGCGCAAGCCUGAUCCAGCAAUGCCGCGUGCAGGAUGAAGGCCUUCGGGUUGUAAACUGCUUUUGUACGGAACGAAAAGGCUCUGGUUAAUACCUGGGGCACAUGACGGUACCGUAAGAAUAAGCACCGGCUAACUACGUGCCAGCCGCCGCGGUAAUAC
rnacentral:rRNA from 1 species